rnacentral:rRNA from 1 species
UUAGAGUUUGAUCCUGGGUUCAGGACGAACGCUGGCGGCAUGCCUAAUACAUGCAAGUCGAACGCUGAAGCCACUCUGCUUGCAGAGUGCGGAUGAGUGGCGAACGGGUGAGUAACACGUGGGAAAUCUGCCUAGGAGUGGGGGAUAACAUUCGGAAACGGAUGCUAAUACCGCAUAUCUUUNUGAACCGCAUGGUUCUUAAACGAAAGACGGCUUCGGCUGUCGCUCUUAGAUGAUCCCGCGGCGUAUUAGUUAGUUGGUGGGGUAAAGGCCUACCAAGACCAUGAUACGUAGCCGACCUGAGAGGGUGAUCGGCCACACUGGGACUGAGACACGGCCCAGACUCCUACGGGAGGCAGCAGUAGGGAAUCUUCCACAAUGGGUGAAAACCUGAUGGAGCAAUGCCGCGUGAAUGAAGAAGGUCUUCGGAUCGUAAAGUUCUGUUAUUAGAGAAGAACAAGUCAAGGAGUAACUGUCUUGACUUUGACGGUACCUAACCAGAAAGUCACGGCUAACUACGUGCCAGCAGCCGCGGUAAUACGUAGGUGACAAGCGUUGUCCGGAAUUAUUGGGCGUAAAGGGAGCGCAGGCGGUUGGAAUAGUCUGAUGUGAAAGCCCACGGCUUAACCGUGGAAGGUCAUUGGAAACUGUCCAACUUGAAUACAGAAGAGGUAAGUGGAAUUCCAAGUGUAGCGGUGAAAUGCGUAGAUAUUUGGAGGAACACCAGUGGCGAAGGCGACUUACUGGUCUGUAAUUGACGCUGAGGCUCGAAAGCGUGGGUAGCAAACAGGAUUAGAUACCCUGGUAGUCCACGCCGUAAACGAUGAGUGCUAAGUGUUAGGGGGUUUCCGCCCCUUAGUGCUGGAGUUAACGCAUUA